CUGUAAUCAACACGUACACACGAUGAAUUCGUGAGAUCAUGAUGUGCCAUGUAAACACUGCUUAAAUGUCAUCGAUCGUAAAAUUAUCGGUUCCAACAAAAAAUUUAAUUACAUUUUUAAAACAUACAAAAAGGCGGCCUUAGGUCUGUAAAUAAGGUAAAAAAUGGUGACUGAGGUCAAUAUUAAUGACCGCGUGGUUAUCAUGCGAGCGUUCAAAAAUGAAUUGGAGUUUUAUGGUAAUGAAUACGUCUAAGUCUUUGUGGGCUUUCAGUGAUUUAUAUGGGCGCUGUGUUUAAGUUUCCCACAGAUGGAGUGACCAGCAGUGGCUGUGUUGGAGUUUGUGGUGUGGGCUUUCAAGAGGAAUGCCUUAACAUUUCCAGCAAAUUUCGCAAAACAUUGAUGUUGAUAUUAUCGUCACCAGAUCAUUACUCCAAAUGGGGGCGUAUUUGCCGAUACCGCUUUAUCAUUGGUCAAUUCUGCGAUUUUAACGUCGGGUCUGUGUGGUCUUUCUUUGGGCAAUACAAGCAACACGCCUUUUAUUUCAUCUUUGGGUGAUUAUUAUAAUGUCAACGAUAGAUUGCGCUUCCAUACCCGAAUUCGAAUUCAAUUGGAUGAGUUGAGAGAUGGUGAUCGUAUGGGCAUGAAGCGCAAGGCUAAUGGAAAUCUCCACUACUUUAAUGGUCAAGAGUAAGAGUAGCUGCCACACGGGUACCUUCCUCUCAAUGGGGUGUCAUUGAUUUUUAUGGCAUGAUCAUUAAGGCUGUAACAACAAAUUUAUUGUUGCUGCUGUUUGCGCUAAAAACACUUGACAUCAACAAUGUUUUAUA
rnacentral:sRNA from 1 species